GUCCACGCCCUAAACGAUGUCAACUAGGUGUUGGGGAAGGAGACUUCUUUAGUACCGCAGCUAACGCGAUAAGUUGACCGCCUGGGGAGUACGGUCGCAAGAUUAAAACUCAAAGGAAUUGACGGGACCCGCACAAGCGGUGGAUUAUGUGGAUUAAUUCGAUGCAACGCGAAAACCUUACCUACCCUUGACAUGCCAGGAAGAUCGCAGAGAUGCGAUUGUGCCCGCAAGGGAACCUGGACACAGGUGCUGCAUGGCUGUCGU
rnacentral:rRNA from 1 species